UACGUAGGGGGCAAGCGUUGUCCGGAUUUACUGGGCGUAAAGAGCGCGUAGGCGGAGAGUUAAGCGUGCCUUGAAAGCCCCCGGCUCAACCGGGGAAGGUGGGUGCGAACUGGCUUUCUUGAGGGCGAUAGAGGGGGGCGGAAUUCCUGGUGUAGCGGUGAAAUGCGUAGAGAUCCGGAGGAACACCGGUGGCGAAGGCGGCUUCCUGGACCAACACUGACACUGAGGAGCGAAAGCCAGGGGAGCAAACGGG
rnacentral:rRNA from 1 species